AUGAACGCUGGCGGCGUGCCUAAUACAUGCAAGUCGAGCGAACAGACGAGGAGCUUGCUCCUCUGACGUUAGCGGCGGACGGGUGAGUAACACGUGGAUAACCUACCUAUAAGACUGGGAUAACUUCGGGAAACCGGAGCUAAUACUGGAUAAUAUAUUGAACCGCAUGGUUCAAUAGUGAAAGACGGUUUUGCUGUCACUUAUAGAUGGAUCCGCGCCGCAUUAGCUAGUUGGUAAGGUAACGGCUUACCAAGGCAACGAUGCGUAGCCGACCUGAGAGGGUGAUCGGCCACACUGGAACUGAGACACGGUCCAGACUCCUACGGGAGGCAGCAGUAGGGAAUCUUCCGCAAUGGGCGAAAGCCUGACGGAGCAACGCCGCGUGAGUGAUGAAGGUCUUCGGAUCGUAAAACUCUGUUAUUAGGGAAGAACAAAUGUGUAAGUAACUAUGCACGUCUUGACGGUACCUAAUCAGAAAGCCACGGCUAACUACGUG
rnacentral:rRNA from 1 species